rnacentral:rRNA from 1 species
AUUGAACGCUGGCGGCAGGCUUAACACAUGCAAGUCGAACGAGUGGCGGACGGGUGAGUAAUGCUUGGGAAUCUGGCUUCUAGAGGGGGAUAACGCCGGGCAACUGUCGCUAAUACCGCGUACCAUAGGAUGAGCCCAAGUGGGAUUAGGUAGUUGGUGGGGUAAUGGCCUACCAAGCAGACGAUCUCUAGCUGGUCUGAGAGGAUGACCAGCCAAACCGGGACUGAGACACGGCCCGGACUCCUACGGGAGGCAGUAGUGGGGAAUAUUGCGCAAUGGGGGCAACCUGACGCAGCCAUGCCGCGGGAAUGAAGAAGGCCUUCGGGUUGUAAAGUGCUUGCGGUGACGAGGCGUUAAUCACAGAAGAAGCACCGGCUAACUCCGUGCCAGCAGCCGCGGUAAUUC